AGAGGUGGGAUGCUGGAGUCAGGACAAGGACUCCAGCGAGGACUAAAGGAGGCACUGGAGGGGGUCCCAGAGGAAAGACAAGGAUUAUAGAAAAUGCCAGAAAAAUGGUGAUCCACUGAGAGAACUGGCAAGGGCCAGAAAGAGAGCCAGCUUUGGAUGGGGAAAGAUGGAGAAGUGGAGAUUUAGGAGUCAUAAAUGCUGAGUGAGGCCCUGGAGUCUAGGAGAAUGGUGGAGCCACAGAGUGAAGGAGCCUGUGUCCACAGGGGGAGGAGGUCACCCUGCAAGAGGACAAGCCACUGGGUACUAAUACAUAAUUCCCACUGCUCUAUGUGCCAAGACACCUCUUCUGGUAAUGUCAUGAGACACGUGAAACACAGAAAUGCUCUCGCUGACUUUUCCAACCUGUAAGACAGUUCUUAGGAACUGAGGCCAGGACUGUUGGAACAAACCUUCAUGAAGGGGCCUCCUCUACAAAGCCGUGCCAUAUCUAGUGUCUCAGGGACUAGAUCCUUUCUGGUUAAUGUCCCACCACAGUAAACCUUCAGUCCCCUUCCAAGGAUGGAGAGAGAUGGGAACCUCUUCACAUACACGACGUGUGCUGAGAUAUAUGUGAUUACAUUGGAUGAGAUCAUAACAUCCAUCUUGCUAGAGGACUGUCUCCCUUGCUAGCUUUGAAGAAGCAAGGUGCCAUGUUAUAAACUGCCCUAAGGAGAGAACCAUGUGACAAAGAACUGACAGUGGCCUCUGACAGACAGCCAGCAAGAAACUGAGGCCCUCAUUUCAUUAUAGCAGUCUGCAAGGAUCUGACUCCUACCAACAACCAUGUGAACUUGGAAGUGGAUCCUUCCCCACUGAGCUUUCAGAUAAGAUCCCACCCCUGGCUGACAUUUUGAUUGCAGCUUUGCAGAGGAAUGAGCUAAGCUGUGCUGGAACUCCUGACCUAUGGAAACCGUGAGAAAAAUAAAAGUGUAUUGUUGUAAGCCACUAA